rnacentral:rRNA from 1 species
AUUGAACGCUGGCGGCAGGCCUAACACAUGCAAGUCGAGCGGAUGAAGGGAGCUUGCUCCUGGAUUCAGCGGCGGACGGGUGAGUAAUGCCUAGGAAUCUGCCUGGUAGUGGGGGAUAACGUCCGGAAACGGGCGCUACUACCGCAUACGACCUGAGGGAGAAAGUGGGGGAUCUUCGGACCUCACGCUAUCAGAUGAGCCUAGGUCGGAUUAGCUAGUUGGUGGGGUAAAGGCCUGCCAAGGCGACGAUCCGUAACUGGUCUGAGAGGAUGAUCAGUCACACUGGAACUGAGACACGGUCCAGGCUCCUACGUGAGGCAGCAGUGGGGAAUAUUGGACGAUGGGCGGAAGCCUGAUCCAGCCAUGCCGCGUGGGUGAAGAAGGUCUUCGGAUUGUAAAGCGCUUUAAGUUGGGAGGAAGGGCAGUAAGUUAAUACCUUGCUGUUUGGACGUUACCAACAGAAUAAGCACCGGCUAACUUCGU